UAAGACAGGGGUCUCAAGCGUUAAUCGGAAUCACUGGGCUUAAAGGGUGCGUAGGUGGCCGAGCAAGUGUCCCGUGAAAUCCCACGGCUCAACCGUGGAAUUGCGGGGCAAACUGCCCGGCUCGAGGAAGGUAGAGGCCGGCGGAACGAUAGGUGGAGCGGUGGAAUGCGUAGAGAUCUAUCGGAACGCCAAAGGUGAAGACAGCCGGCUGGGCCUUUCCUGACACUGAGGCACGAAAGCGUGGGGAGCAAACCGGAUUAGAUACCCGGGUAGUCCACGCCCUAAACGAUGCACACUAGACCGGAGCGGCUCUGACGUCGUUCUGGUCGCAGAGAAAUUGAUAAGUGUGCCGCCUGGGGAGUACGGUCGCAAGGCUA
rnacentral:rRNA from 1 species